rnacentral:rRNA from 1 species
AUUGAACGCUGGCGGCAGGCCUAACACAUGCAAGUCGAGCGAGCGGCGGACGGGUGAGUAAUGUCUGGGAAUUGCCCAGUCGAGGGGGAUAACAGUUGGAAACGACUGCUAAUACCGCAUACGAUUGGUUAGCUCAGGUUGGAUUAGCUAGUUGGUGAGGUAAUGGCUCACCAAGGCGACGAUCCCUAGCUAGUCUGAGUGGAAGAUCAGCGACACGGGAACUGUGACACGGUCCAGAGUGCUAAGGCAGGCAGCGGUGGGGAAUAGUGCGGAAUGGGGGAAACCCUGAUGCAGACAUGCCGCGUGUGUGAAGAAGGCCUUCGGGUUGUAAAGCACUUGCAGCGAGAUGGCGUUACUCGCAGAAGAAGCACCGGCUAACUCCGUGCCAGCAGCCGCGGUAAUAC